rnacentral:rRNA from 1 species
AGAGUUUGAUCCUGGCUCAGAACGAACGCUGGCGGCGUGGAUAAGACAUGCAAGUCGAACGAGAGAAUUGCUAGCUUGCUAAUAAUUCUCCAGUGGCGCACGGGUGAGUAACACGUGAGUAACCUGCCCCCGAGAGCGGGAUAGCCCUGGGAAACUGGGAUUAAUACCGCAUAGUAUCGAAAGAUUAAAGCAGCAAUGCGCUUGGGGAUGGGCUCGCGGCCUAUUAGUUAGUUGGUGAGGUAACGGCUCACCAAGGCGAUGACGGGUAGCCGGUCUGAGAGGAUGUCCGGCCACACUGGAACUGAGACACGGUCCAGACACCUACGGGUGGCAGCAGUCGAGAAUCAUUCACAAUGGGGGAAACCCUGAUGGUGCGACGCCGCGUGGGGGAAUGAAGGUCUUCGGAUUGUAAACCCCUGCCAUGUGGGAGCAAAUUAAAAAGAUAGUACCACAAGAGGAAGAGACGGCUAACUCUGUGCCAGCAGCCGCGGUAAUACAGAGGUCUCAAGCGUUGUUCGGAAUCACUGGGCGUAAAGCGUGCGUAGGCUGUUUCGUAAGUCGUGUGUGAAAGGCGCGGGCUCAACCCGCGGACGGCACAUGAUACUGCGAGACUAGAGUAAUGGAGGGGGAACCGGAAUUCUCGGUGUAGCAGUGAAAUGCGUAGAUAUCGAGAGGAACACACGUGGCGAAGGCGGGUUCCUGGACAUUAACUGACGCUGAGGCACGAAGGCCAGGGGAGCGAAAGGGAUUAGAUACCCCUGUAGUCCUGGCAGUAAACGGUGCACGCUUGGUGUGCGGGGAAUCGACCCCCUGCGUGCCGGAGCUAACGCGUUAAGCGUGCCGCCUGGGGAGUACGGUCGCAAGAUUAAAACUCAAAGAAAUUGACGGGGACCCGCACAAGCGGUGGAGUAUGUGGCUUAAUUCGAUGCAACGCGAAGAACCUUACCUGGGCUUGACAUGUAAUGAACAACAUGUGAAAGCAUGCGACUCUUCGGAGGCGUUACACAGGUGCUGCAUGGCCGUCGUCAGCUCGUGUCGUGAGAUGUUUGGUUAAGUCCAGCAACGAGCGCAACCCCUGUUGCCAGUUACCAGCACGUGAAGGUGGGGACUCUGGCGAGACUGCCCAGAUCAACUGGGAGGAAGGUGGGGACGACGUCAGGUCAGUAUGGCCCUUAUGCCCAGGGCUGCACACGUACUACAAUGCCCAGUACAGAGGGGGCCGAAGCCGCGAGGCGGAGGAAAUCCUAAAAACUGGGCCCAGUUCGGACUGUAGGCUGCAACCCGCCUACACGAAGCCGGAAUCGCUAGUAAUGGCGCAUCAGCUACGGCGCCGUGAAUACGUUCCCGGGUCUUGCACUCACCGCCCGUCA